UCCUCCGCCCCGUCGAGCUAGAGCCUGUCUCCAGAAGGAUGCUCUUGCUCCAGACUCUUGACUGCUCUCCUUCCCUGGACGGCACCGCGGGCGGAGUGCGGUGGGCUGGGCCGGGCCUGGACUGCAAGGAGGGGGGCUUUGUGCUGACUCUGGAAGGCCUCUGUGUAUCCUCAGCUUUGAGAACUGAAUUCCAUGGGUUGUGUCAGUGUCAGACCUGUGAAGUUCAGUUCUUCAGCUGGGAUAGCUCUGUCAUCGUGGACCCGAGGAACACUGGAGAGAGCAGCGGAAGAACUUGGAAGACUGGAGAUGGAAGGGCCAAGCCUCGGCUCUGAAGGAACAGGGAGGGUGGGUUCAGGGGAAAAGCACUCAUCCAAUUUCGAGAAGACUUGAAUUCUAUGCUGAGCAAUGUUCCAACUAGCUAAACCGAUGCUCCUGGCGAAUCAUUCUUACUGUUGCUGCUGUUCCAACUAGUUUACAUUUAUCGAGUCGUUGCAACAAGCCAGGUACUGUACUAACUGCUUUCCACGCUGUUGCAGGAGACUCCUGCGGGCGGAGACACCCAGCACUGCCAUGCAGUGAUUUUUCUCCUUUUCAUGGGAUUAGACAGGAUUCGUGGAAUGUGACCAGUGUUCUUUAGUAUACAUUGCUGAGGUUACUGGUUCCUUUUUAAGAUGAGAAACAUAGGUACAUCCCUGUUAUGGUCCCCCCUCACCCUUUAAUUGAAUCUCAACUUUCUUGCCUUCUAUCAAUACAUUUGGGCUACUUCGUAUCUGUGUAUUCCAAACAAGGCAAAAGGAUUGUCACUAGCCUUUACCCCAGUUUCUCCCAGGGUUGUGAUGGCCCCUUCAUUUGCUGGCAUGGCCAGCUGUGUGCUGUGGGUCAGGCCCUCUGUUGUCCUCUGUCACCAAGUCAGCUGGGUCUGAUCCGAGUCUGGGUCUUGCUGUGACAAUGACGAUUUCCACCUUUAUAGGGUUGGGGGCUGUGUAUGUGCUCUUUGGACUUCAUUAGGCUUUAGCUUGGAUGGGGAACUCAUCUUUGAUUCUGCACUAUCUCUUGGUGUCCUGAAAUGCCCAACUCAUUAUAGUCUACAGAGUGGAAGUGUGGCCUGCCCCAGAGACCCUCCAGCAUGUGGAUUCUCACUCUGCCUUCUCAGUGACAUGUUUAUUGAGUGGGUACUAUGUGCCAGGCACAGUGCUCAGGGCAUUUUGUGAGUGAUCACAGGGAAUCCCACAUCAAACCUCACCUGGGAAAUGAGGAUGGAUUAGCAAAAGGAUGUCCUGUAAAACAGUGUACCUACAUUCUACUGAUGCAAAGGGUGCUUGGUCCUUCUGAGAGCCCCCAGCCUGGGUGUGGGAUGUGGGUGUGCUCUCUGGGCUGGGCUGAUCACAUCACCGCCCCCACCUGUCUCACUCUGCCCACUUCCACCCUUUGCUUACUACACCCUUAGCCAGUGACUCAUUCUAGAACCAGAACACCGGUGAGACUCAACUGAGACCGGAGAUUAGUGCCAUUAGUCCUAGGCCACUAGGGAAAGUUCAGAGUUUACACCAGAGGCUUCAAUACUCUGUGUUUGGGACCAUCUCUGCUCUGAACACUGACUUAGACCCAGAACUCUGACUUACUCCAAAAGACUCGUUCUUAUUGCAGGCAAACUCUUCCUGAAGCAAGCCUGAUAAGUGAGAUGCACACACACACACACACACACACACACACACACACACAAUAACUCUGUGGAUCUGUGGGGAGUCAGCAAAAAUUCACGACAUAAAAGAAAGCUUCAUUUCCUAAGAGGAUUUGUGCUAAGAUUCCACUAAGUAAUACAUUUUCCGAGUAUCUUUGAGGUUGUAUGAGCUUUAUCUAAACUUAUUUUAUACAAGUUUAAAAAAUAGAAUACAAACUAGUUUGGAUUAUACAUAAAAUUUAUGGAAGUAUAUAGGAUUAUGUACAUUGAAAAAUGUACAUCAAUUUAUUAAUGGGGAUUGUCUCCAGGGCAGUGAAAAUUGAGAUGCCUUUUCCUUUCUUUGUAUUUUUCUCUAUUGUUUGAUUCUUACGCUGAGCAUAUUUAUUUAAAACAAUAAAGUUAUUGAAGGAUG